GAUGAACGCUGGCGGCGUGCCUAAUACAUGCAAGUCGAGCGAACAGAUACGGAGCUUGCUCCUUUGACGUUAGCGGCGGACGGGUGAGUAACACGUGGGUAACCUACCUAUAAGACUGGGAUAACUUCGGGACACCGGCGCUAAUCCCGGAUAACAUUUGGAACCGCAUGGUUCUAAAGUGAAAGAUGGUUUUGCUAUCACUUAUAGAUGGACCCGCGCCGUAUUAGCUAGUUGGUAAGGUAACGGCUUACCAAGGCGACGAUACGUAGCCGACCUGAGAGGGUGAUCGGCCACACUGGAACUGAGACACGGUCCAGACUCCUACGGGAGGCAGCAGUAGGGAAUCUUCCGCAAUAGGCGAAAGCCUGACGGAGCAACGCCGCGUGAGUGAUGAAGGGUUUCGGCUCGUAAAACACUGUUAUUAGGGAAGAACAGAUGUGUAAGUAACUGUGCACGUCUUGACGGUACCUAAUCAGAAAGCCACGGCUAACUACGUG
rnacentral:rRNA from 1 species